UCUUGGAACAUUUAUAAACCCAAACCACCUCUUCUGUUGCUUUCAAGUCCUUCCAUUUUAAGUAACUUCUUUUUAUCUUCCAAGUCUGCCUGAUUGACCUUUGAACUUAUCUACACCUAAAAGCUGGGCCCAGUUCUCUGGGUCACACUGGAUGGUGAUGAAUAGCAACACACAUUUCUCUUCGCUUCUGCCUGAAAUUUGCUUAAAGCUGAGAUAUAUAAGGAUUCUAUGACACUAGUGCUUUGUUCUUGGAGCUAAAGUUAGUCUAUUGAUGUUUGCUUAUUAGUUUCAGGGUCCAACAUAACACAAGUCCCUUCUCCUUGAUAGCUAGCUCCUUGAUAUCUCAAUCCUGCAGUCCUUACUCAGGCAAAUUGUGCACUGCCAGAGGGGCCCUGGGCUUUGCCAUACACCCAGAGGAGCUCUUCUCAGUGUAUUUCUAAAUGGCCUUACACUUGGUAGAAGGAACUGGAGGAUUAUUCAAAUGUAGUUGCAAUCUGCAGUCUGCUGAAUUAGGGCUUUCAUUUGCGUCCAAGUUGGCCUGAUAUGGACUGCAUCUGGUUUACGUAUAGAUGGGUCCUGCUGGGGUAUGCACACGGACAUGUGAGUGAGUGUGCAUAUGUAGCCCUUCAGUG
rnacentral:lncRNA from 1 species